rnacentral:rRNA from 1 species
GACGAACGCUGGCGGCGUGCUUCAUACAUGCAAGUCGAACGAGAACCGAUAGCUUGCUAUCGGGGAAAGUGGCGGACGGGUGAGUAAUAUGUGGGUAACCUGCCCAAGAGACUGGGAUAACACCUGGAAACAGAUGCUAAUACCGGAUAACAACACUAGACGCAUGUCUAGAGUUUGAAAGAUGGUUCUGCUAUCACUCUUGGAUGGACCUGCGGUGCAUUAGCUAGUUGGUAAAGGUAACGGCUUACCAAGGCAAAUGAAUGCAUAGCCGAGUUGAGAGACUGAUCGGCCACAUUGGGACUGAGACACGGCCCAA